GACGAACGCUGGCGGCGUGCCUAACACAUGCAAGUCGAACGAAGCUUGAUUUCUGAUUUUUUCGGAAUGACGAAUGAUAUGACUGAGUGGCGGACGGGUGAGUAACGCGUGAGCAACCUGCCCUUCGGAACGGGAUAGUGUCUGGAAACGGACAGUAAUACCGUAUAACAUAUAUUGAUCGCAUGGUCGAUAUAUCAAAACUGAGGUGCCGAAGGACGGGCUCGCGUCUGAUUAGAUAGUUGGUGGGGUAACGGCCUACCAAGUCGACGAUCAGUAGCCGGACUGAGAGGUUGAACGGCCACAUUGGGACUGAGACACGGCCCAGACUCCUACGGGAGGCAGCAGUGGGGAAUAUUGCACAAUGGGGGAAACCCUGAUGCAGCAACGCCGCGUGAAGGAAGACGGUUUUCGGAUUGUAAACUUCUGUUCUUAGUGAAGAAUAAUGACGGUAGCUAAGGAGCAAGCCACGGCU
rnacentral:rRNA from 1 species